CUUUACUGUAGCUUUGCAUUGGACUUUGACGGGACUUGUGUAGGAUAGGUGGGAGGCGAUGAGACCGGGACGCUAGUUCCGGUGGAGCCGUCCUUGAAAUACCACCCUGGUGUCGUUGAGGUUCUAACCUAGGUCCAUCAUCUGGAUCGGGGACCGUGCAUGGUAGGCAGUUUGACUGGGGCGGUCUCCUCCCAAAAGGUAACGGAGGAGUACGAAGGUCUUCUAGGUACGGUCGGACAUCGUACUGAUAGUGCAAUGGCAAAAGAAGGUUUGACUGCGAGACCGACAAGUCGAGCAGGUGCGAAAGCAGGUCAUAGUGAUCCGGUGGUUCUGUAUGGAAGGGCCAUCGCUCAACGGAUAAAAGGUA
rnacentral:rRNA from 1 species